UAAGGAAUAUUGGUCAAUGGACGCAAGUCUGAACCAGCCAUGCCGCGUGAAGGAUGAAGGUCCUCUGGAUUGUAAACUUCUUUUAUCUGGGACGAAAACGGGAUUUUUAUCUCAAUUGACGGUACCAGAGGAAUAAGCACCGGCUAACUCCGUGCCAGCAGCCGCGGUAAUACGGAGGGUGCAAGCGUUAUCCGGAUUCACUGGGUUUAAAGGGUGCGUAGGUGGGCAGGUAAGUCAGUGGUGAAAGCUCCGGGCUUAACCCGGAAACUGCCGUUGAUACUAUUUGUCUUGAAUAUUGUGGAGGUAAGCGGAAUAUGUCAUGUAGCAGUGAAAUGCUUAGAUAUGACAUAGAACACCAAUUGCGAAGGCAGCUUACUACGCAAUCAUUGACGCUGAGGCACGAAAGCGUGGGGAUCAAACA
rnacentral:rRNA from 1 species